rnacentral:rRNA from 1 species
AGCGUACACGGUGGAUGCCCUGGCAGUCAGAGGCGAUGAAGGGCGUGCUAAUCUGCGAUAAGCGCCGGUAAGGUGAUAUGAACCGUUAUAACCGGCGAUACCCGAAUGGGGAAACCCAGUGUGAUUCGUCACACUAUCAUUAACUGAAUCCAUAGGUUAAUGAGGCGAACCGGGGGAACUGAAACAUCUAAGUACCCCGAGGAAAAGAAAUCAACCGAGAUUCCCCCAGUAGCGGCGAGCGAACGGGGAGGAGCCCAGAGCCUGAAUCAGCAUGUGUGUUAGUGGAAGCGUCUGGAAAGGCGCGCGAUACAGGGUGACAGCCCCGUACACAAAAGCGCAUGUGCUGUGAGCUCGAUGAGUAGGGCGGGACACGUGGUAUCCUGUCUGAAUAUGGGGGGACCAUCCUCCAAGGCUAAAUACUCCUGACUGACCGAUAGUGAACCAGUACCGUGAGGGAAAGGCGAAAAGAACCCCGGCGAGGGGAGUGAAAAAGAACCUGAAACCGUGUACGUACAAGCAGUGGGAGCACAGGUUUACCUGUGUGACUGCGUACCUUUUGUAUAAUGGGUCAGCGACUUAUAUUCUGUAGCAAGGUUAACCGAAUAGGGGAGCCGGAGGGAAACCGAGUCUUAAUUGGGCGUUAAGUUGCAGGGUAUAGACCCGAAACCCGGUGAUCUAGCCAUGGGCAGGUUGAAGGUUGGGUAACACUAACUGGAGGACCGAACCGACUAAUGUUGAAAAAUUAGCGGAUGACCUGUGGCUGGGGGUGAAAGGCCAAUCAAACCGGGAGAUAGCUGGUUCUCCCCGAAAGCUAUUUAGGUAGCGCCUCGUGAAUUCAUCUCCGGGGGUAGAGCACUGUUUCGGCUAGGGGGCCAUCCCGGCUUACCAACCCGAUGCAAACUGCGAAUACCGGAGAAUGUUAUCACGGGAGACACACGGCGGGUGCUAACGUCCGUCGUGAAGAGGGAAACAACCCAGACCGCCAGCUAAGGUCCCAAAGUCAUGGUUAAGUGGGAAACGAUGUGGGAAGGCCCAGACAGCCAGGAUGUUGGCUUAGAAGCAGCCAUCAUUUAAAGAAAGCGUAAUAGCUCACUGGUCGAGUCGGCCUGCGCGGAAGAUGUAACGGGGCUAAACCAUGCACCGAAGCUGCGGCAGCGAACGUAUCACCCAAGACAACUUUACGGAGUUGACGAUUGACGGAGCGAAGCGACGUCAAAGCGUUCAUUAAAGUCGAGUUGGCUUAGGGAUACGUUCGUUGGGUAGGGGAGCGUUCUGUAAGCCUGUGAAGGUGUGUCGUGAGGCAUGCUGGAGGUAUCAGAAGUGCGAAUGCUGACAUAAGUAACGAUAAAGCGGGUGAAAAGCCCGCUCGCCGGAAGACCAAGGGUUCCUGUCCAACGUUAAUCGGGGCAGGGUGAGUCGACCCCUAAGGCGAGGCCGAAAGGCGUAGUCGAUGGGAAACGGGUUAAUAUUCCCGUACUUGGUGUUACUGCGAAGGGGGGACGGAGAAGGCUAUGUUGGCCGGGCGACGGUUGUCCCGGUUUAAGCGUGUAGGUGUGUGUUCCAGGUAAAUCCGGUUCACUUUAACACUGAGGCGUGACGACGAGGCACUACGGUGCUGAAGCAACAAAUGCCCUGCUUCCAGGAAAAGCCUCUAAGCAUCAGGUAACACGAAAUCGUACCCCAAACCGACACAGGUGGUCAGGUAGAGAAUACCAAGGCGCUUGAGAGAACUCGGGUGAAGGAACUAGGCAAAAUGGUGCCGUAACUUCGGGAGAAGGCACGCUGACACGUAGGUGAAGUGAUUUACUCAUGGAGCUGAAGUCAGUCGAAGAUACCAGCUGGCUGCAACUGUUUAUUAAAAACACAGCACUGUGCAAACACGAAAGUGGACGUAUACGGUGUGACGCCUGCCCGGUGCCGGAAGGUUAAUUGAUGGGGUCAGCGUAAGCGAAGCUCCUGAUCGAAGCCCCGGUAAACGGCGGCCGUAACUAUAACGGUCCUAAGGUAGCGAAAUUCCUUGUCGGGUAAGUUCCGACCUGCACGAAUGGCGUAAUGAUGGCCAGGCUGUCUCCACCCGAGACUCAGUGAAAUUGAACUCGCUGUGAAGAUGCAGUGUACCCGCGGCAAGACGGAAAGACCCCGUGAACCUUUACUAUAGCUUGACACUGAACAUUGAGCCUUGAUGUGUAGGAUAGGUGGGAGGCUUUGAAGUGUGGACGCCAGUCUGCAUGGAGCCGACCUUGAAAUACCACCCUUUAAUGUUUGAUGUUCUAACGUGGACCCGUAAUCCGGGUUGCGGACAGUGUCUGGUGGGUAGUUUGACUGGGGCGGUCUCCUCCUAAAGAGUAACGGAGGAGCACGAAGGUUGGCUAAUCCUGGUCGGACAUCAGGAGGUUAGUGCAAUGGCAUAAGCCAGCUUGACUGCGAGCGUGACGGCGCGAGCAGGUGCGAAAGCAGGUCAUAGUGAUCCGGUGGUUCUGAAUGGAAGGGCCAUCGCUCAACGGAUAAAAGGUACUCCGGGGAUAACAGGCUGAUACCGCCCAAGAGUUCAUAUCGACGGCGGUGUUUGGCACCUCGAUGUCGGCUCAUCACAUCCUGGGGCUGAAGUAGGUCCCAAGGGUAUGGCUGUUCGCCAUUUAAAGUGGUACGCGAGCUGGGUUUAGAACGUCGUGAGACAGUUCGGUCCCUAUCUGCCGUGGGCGCUGGAGAACUGAGGGGGGCUGCUCCUAGUACGAGAGGACCGGAGUGGACGCAUCACUGGUGUUCGGGUUGUCAUGCCAAUGGCACUGCCCGGUAGCUAAAUGCGGAAGAGAUAAGUGCUGAAAGCAUCUAAGCACGAAACUUGCCCCGAGAUGAGUUCU